UUUGUUUCUCUCUCUCUUAGGUUGAUGAAACAGGUGUAGAAGUUAAGGACAUAGAACUGGUCAUGUCACAAGCAAAUGUGUCAAGAGCAAAGGCAGUCCGAGCCCUGAAGAACAACAGUAAUGAUAUUGUAAAUGCUAUUAUGGAAUUAACAAUGUAACCGUCUGAAAACGAGGACCCUUUUUUGGUGUUUCAAAAGAAUAACUGCAGCUUGGUUUGAAAUUUGUACUGUUUCUAUCAUUAAUAAAGUUAUGGCCUCUUGUUGGAUGAA